ACAUAAUGGAUGUAGUGAGGUAUUAGGAUUUCUUUUGAGGUUUUUCUUUUUUGAGACAGGGUUUUCUUUGUAACAGCCCUGGCUAUCCUGGAACUCACUCUGUAGACCAGGUGGCCUCAAACUCAGAGAUCGGCCUGCCUUUGCCCACUGUGUGCUGGACAUGAGCCACCAACAUCCUGAUUCUUCUUCCCCCUCUCCCCCCAGGGGACUGGUGUCCCUGGCUGGCCUAGAAUUCACUCACAGGAUUACUAGUUACCUUUUGUAACGGUGGUCGGGAUUUGCUUCUAUUUAUGCUACUAUGUAAUUUUUAUGACCUCGUUUAAGGGUCUCUUUCCUAUGAGUAAAAUAGAGUAGCUUUAGCUGGCUUUGGGGUUUUUUUAAUUUUAUUUUUUCCUUCCGAAGACAAAGUCUCCCUGUGUAACCCAGACACUUGCUACAUAGUCUAGGCUGAGCUCCUAAGUAUAAUCAAUAUUCCUGCUUCAGCUUCUGAGGCAUUUAGAUUUCUCUUACUGAAUCCAACCCAGAAAGCAUUCUUGAGACUUGGAGCAUUAGUCUCUGUCAAUAUGAUAAAAGACAAAAAGUGAUUCUCGUGGCUGCAGAUCUGGGACACAAAGGCCCAGCCCAGCCUUCUCAGCCUGCCUGGGUUCUGUCCAGACACCGCCCUUAAUUUCUGAUGAGUGCUGGAUCUAACUUGGAUGGUGGCAAUGAAUGGUAAACUUUGCAUCAUGGAUAUUCAUGCAUUUUCCCAUGAGUGAAUCUAUGAAAAUUCUGAGAAUUUGAGGUUCAAUGGCAUGAUGGUGACUCCACCCACCUCCAACAACUUACUAUGGAAAACUUGAAGUAGGAUUGGUGAGAUGGCCAGCAGGCUGGCUUGGACUACUCUGCAGGACAGCACUGCUUGACAUUAGAUACCAGCUUUAUCCAUGCCCUCAAAAAUGCAAGGCACAGAUUAUGAACUUCCUGACCCUGUUUUGCACUUGAUCCAAACUCUGGUGUCAGUACAGAGGACUGGCAAGCAGAACUACAGGUGUUGAUUUAGGAGAACAUGGACCCAAUGGCACCAGCAUUCUUCAGAAUCCUUGUGAGAAUUCCUGCACAUACUGGUGUGUCAGUUCUGUCCAGAGAACAGCUGAUUGUGGAGUACCCAGCCCAUGUUGAUAACAUCCAACAUAACCAGUGCUCAAAAGAUGUGGAGAAUGCUGUGGAAGAUAGGCUGGAUAGACUAGACAGAAGAUGAGGAUGGCAAGCCAAUAGGCAAACCUAACCUAUCAGGACUCACAUUCUUCCUCUAUAUGGACUGUCCA